GCGUGAGCUACGCAGAAGACGGGUGAUUUCUGCAUUUCCAUCUGAGAGGACAGGUGACCGCAAAGCAGAAGUGAUGAAGAGCCAGUCACCAUGGCCACAUCUUGAGGUCACACAGUCAGCAGUUCGCUUUGCUCACUCAGUCCUAUAAAAACAGCAAGGUGGCCAGUGGGCUAGUGUGAAAUAAUUAAGAGGACAAUUCAUAGAAAAUGGAAAUGGAAAGACAGCAGGAGGGCAGACCAAACAGUAUCUCCUGGACCCGUUAAAGGCUUUGGAUUUUACACUGGAGAAAUGGAAAGCCUGCGACUAACUGAAAAAGUUACACAGCUGACACUGCUGCUUAAAGAAACCAGAUGGCGCCAGAGCUUCUUGACCCCUGACCAGAUGCCAGAGGAAGAUAAGACACCAUAAAACCAGCGCAAAUGGGAACUGGCAAACCCUGGGUGCCUUUAGAUCAUGAACAUAUCAUUAUAAUGCUAAUUUCCCUUCCCUAAAAGAAAAUCUCUGCCAUUUUGUGUACAUAUGAUAUAUGAAGAUGCAUGUUUAUGAAUUGGGCCUGCGUGUCUGGAGUCCCACCCUGCACAUACUAACAUUCCUUUCCUGCCCCAUAGGAAUAAAGGCAAUAAACCCCUUGCCUUUUAUUCUUCAAGAAAAGAUGCUUUCAGAGGAAGAGCUCACCUUCUCCAUUCCCUGGCAAAUGAAUAAAACCUGA
rnacentral:lncRNA from 1 species